AGACAUGUUAAGGAGACUGGAAAGACAAUCUGCGAAAGGCCUUGAACUACAGCAAAACAGAGAGUGAGAAACAAUGACCACCAAUUGUUCCUGAACCUCAUAUGGACAGCAAUCCUCACCUGAAAAAGACUGACCUUCUCAAUUCCAAAUUUUAAAAAAUCACAGGCAUAUGUAAUGUUCUCAGGCUUUGUCAGCUGGGUUUUAGAUUUUGUAAAAAUUCAGGAUUUGGGUUAGAGUAGCUGAUUUCAACUCCCAGAGGCAACAUGAGAGUUACCUUAACUGAGCUACUUAAUUGUUCCUUUCUCAGAUGUCUUAUCUAUAAAGUAGAGAUCUCUGCCUUAUAUACUUACAGCAUCCUAAAAAUUAAAAAAGCACCAGGGAAAUGAAUAACAUUAUUAUUAGUAUUAAAUGUUAAAGAGAUAGAAAUUAUUAAUAUUUUAUGCAUUACCCUUCCUUGCUUUUCAAGAGGUCCAUCUAAAUAGUUUGUCUUCAUCAUAUCUGAGACUACAUAUAUAUAUAUAAAUAUAUAUAUAUAUAUAACUGUGACUAUAUAUGUAUGUAUGAAUAUAUGUAUAUAUAGUUACAUAUAUAUAUGUAACUGUAACUAUACACACACACACAUUCAUGUCUAGGUAAUUAAUGGGACAUAUUAGUUCAACUGAACAAUUGUUAACUCUCUAUGUGCAAAGAUGUAGAAGGCCCAGUAAGUGGUAAUACUAAGGAAAUACAUGUAAAUUAGUGUUACCUUUUCAAGGUAUCUCUUUAGGAAGCCACAUGUUCAUCAUUUCAGCCAUGCUGCUAAUAACCCAAGUAUUUCUGGUACUUCUUUUUAGAACUAUACUCAGUUUAUAAGCCAAUAUAAGCAUUAUAGUCUAUAUUAUAAUAUAUUGUACUAUAUUAUUAAAAUUUAUAGCUAAUACCAAAAAAAAGAGUGUGUCUUGGCCCAAAUUUGUGGAAACUUUAUAGACAUCUGUAAAAGAAAUUUUGACUUUUUAGUACUUUUAUAUUGUAUCUAGAGGUCUUCUAAACCUGUAUGAAACUCUCUUUGAUAUGCUUUCUGAGGCAAAGUUAUAUAUUUCACUAAUAUGGAAGCUAAAUUAUUUAAAAUAGUUGACUUUUAAAUGAAAAAAAAUCUACAAGCCAAAAUGAAGACAUAUUAUGAACCUCCCAGGAAACAUCUAUAUUCAGAUAUUACUUAAUUAGCUGAUUCUUAAAGCACUUGUCAAUCACAUCACUUCAGUAAUUCUUUCAAAGCCCUUUUGGAAACAUAAAAAGAAUAGUCAAUAAAGAUGUGUCCAGAAUGUCA